rnacentral:tRNA from 1 species
AAGAACAAACUUAAUACUAAGCUUCUCCCUUACACUGAAAAGUUUGUCCAUCGAAUGGACUGUUCUGU